GAUGAACGCUGGCGGCGUGCCUAACACAUGCAAGUCGAGCGGAGGCGAGCGAAUCAGCAAUGAAGAGCGGACCUUAGCGGCGGACGGGUGAGUAACACGUGAGCAAUCUGCCUUCGGCAGGGGAAUAACAUUGUGAAAACAGUGCUAAUACCGCAUGACGUCCGACCGGGACAUCCCGGAGGGACCAAAGGAGAAAUCCGGCAGAAGAUGAGCUCGCGUCCGAUUAGGUAGUUGGUGAGGUAACGGCCCACCAAGCCGACGAUCGGUAGCCGAACUGAGAGGUUGAUCGGCCACAUUGGGACUGAGACACGGCCCAGACUCCUACGGGAGGCUG
rnacentral:rRNA from 1 species